CCUACGGGGGGCAGCAGUGAGGAAUAUUGGUCAAUGGACGAGAGUCUGAACCAGCCAAGCAGCGUGAAGGAUGACUGCCCUAUGGGUUGUAAACUUCUUUUAUAUGGGAAUAAAAUGUUCCACGUGUGGGCUUUUGUAUGUACCAUAUGAAUAAGGAUCGGCUAACUCCGUGCCAGCAGCCGCGGUAAUACGGAGGAUCCGAGCGUUAUCCGGAUUUAUUGGGUUUAAAGGGAGCGUAGGUGGAUUGUUAAGUCAGUUGUGAAAGUUUGCGGCUCAACCGUAAAAUUGCAGUUGAAACUGGCAGUCUUGAGUACAGUAGAGGUGGGCGGAAUGCGUGGUGUAGCGGUGAAAUGCUUAGAUAUCACGAAGAACUCCGAUUGCGAAGGCAGCUCACUGGACUGCAACUGACACUGAGGCUCGAAAGUGUGGGUAUCAAACAGGAUUAGAUACCCCAGUAGUC
rnacentral:rRNA from 1 species